rnacentral:siRNA from 1 species
AUUAGACAACUGAGCUUGAUUCUC